GCCUCUGUAGUUCAGUUGGUUAGAGCGCUGCUCUGGAAUUGCAGGGCCGCAGGCUCGAUUCCUGCCAGGGACC